GACAGAGGUGCCGAGCGUUAGGCGGAAUCACUGGGCUUAAAGCGUGUGUAGGCGGGUCCGUAAGUACCUUGUGAAAUCCCACGGCUCAACCCUGGAAUGCCGGUGGAUACUGUCGGGCUAGAGUCCGGAAGGGGCGAGUGGAAUUCCUGGUGUAGCGGUGAAAUGCGCAGAUAUCAGGAGGAACACCGAUGGCGAAGGCAGCUCGCUGGGACGGUACUGACGCUGAGGCGCGAAAGCGUGGGGAGCAAACAGG
rnacentral:rRNA from 1 species